UGUAGUAAUCAGCCAUUUGUAGUCAUCUUUGCAGUCCUAACCUGUGCCUAGCACAAAGCAACCACUUGAUGCAAGAAUUUACAUCUAAUUACAUCUUUCGUUCUAAUUAAACUUUGUUAUAAUUAAUCUUAAGUUAUGGCCACGUGUAGAAUUAAACAAAUGAUGAACAGUAGCUAACUUUCUGUACCAAGCAUGAAACCAGGAAUUUUAAGUGCUAUACAGAGUUUGUGACAAUAGGAUAUCUGUGGUACCUUAAUUUCAUGUGUCAACUUGACUGGGCCAUGGGGUCUCCAGGUAUUCGGUCAAACAUUAUUGUGGGUGUUUCUUGGGAGUGUUGUUGAGUGAGACUGGCAUUUAAACAGGCAGACCAAAUAAAACAGAUUGGCCUUUCCAGUGUGCGCAGGCCUCAUCCAAUCAUUUGAAGGCCUGAAUAAAACAAAAAGACUACUGUCCCCUAAGUAAGAGAGAAUUCUUGCUGCCUGGCUACCUUCAAACUGGGACAUCAGCUCCUCCUCAGUCUUGAGCCUGCCAACUGGGUCUCUAGCCAAGCUUGCUGACUCACCUCCAGAUCUUUGAACUUGCCCACUUUCAUAAUCAUGGGAGCCAAUUCCUCACAUGUAAUUCCACUCACUCAUCCUUCUGCACUUCCUACAUAACCAAACCAUAUUCCAUACAGGAAAUUUAUAUACAUCCUAUUGAUUUUGUUUCUCUGGAGAACCCUGACACCGAUAAUAGAGUAUUCCAGGAAAUAAAGCAAUCAGAGGUUACUUUGAUGAGAAUACAUGCCUUUAAUUUGCCUUAUAAGUCUUUUGUGAUCCAGAUAUAUGCCAUCUCCCUUGGUAAUUCGUCCAUCUGUGCUACAUGUGGAUGACUUAAUUCUUACAGGUCAUUUUUUCAUAUUCAAUCUCAGGACCUUUGAAGAAUCCUCUCAACUUAUGGAUACUAAUCCAUCAGCUGCAAAUAGCCACACAAAUGUUCACCACAUGCAUAUACAGGACUAUGAAGCUUUGUACGAUAUGGAGUUGUAUUAGGGACUCAGACCUGGGAGAACAGCCACUGCCCAGACACGUUCAGCGACAGAUAAAACAGUAUAACAUUUUGCAAAGGCAAAUUCCUCCUCUUCUGCUGUAGAAAAACUUGGUUUCUUCUUCAUACACACUGAGUCCUUCUGCUCAUAAUGCUGGUCCUAAACACCUUAAUCCAAAAGCAGCCAAUAAAAAGUUUUUAAAAGUCCAACUCCUUAGGGAAAAACUUUGUUUUCCAGUUUGUGUGACUCAGGUCAUCAGCUCACGGUCAUUGUCAGAGCCCCAGUCAUCUACGUGUGUCAGCACCGCCCCUUUUAUCUCUCUGUCUUCAGUACUGCCUGAGAAGUACACACAAAGGACUGAACAGAGACAUUUUCAAAGUUUCAGAGAAAAAUGAAAGGAUAUGAUUUUAACACUGGAACCGAAUACUCUCUUAAGCAUAAAUUUUUCUUCUAGGGAGCAUUUGUUUGUAAUUAUGAGAAAUUAAGGAAUAUAUUCCCAGUGAAUUAAAACAUAGGAAAUUAAAACUGGAAGGGUAUUCAGGGAAUCUAGAAGUUCAUGCUAUCAGCUUUGUGAGUGAUUUCAUCUCUCACUUUGUGCAUUUCCCUUUCUAUGUUCAUGUUUGAUGUGAGCUGCAUUCCCAGCUCAGAUUAUUCUCAUUCUUUAAAAAUAAGAGGGGCUGGGCACAGUGGCUCACACCUGUAAUCCCAGCACUUUGGGAGGCCGAGGCAGGCGGAUCACCUGAGGUCGGGAGUUCGAGACCAGCCUGACCAACAUGGAGAAACCCCGUCUCUACUAAAAAUACAAAAAACUAACUGGGCAUGGUGGUAUAUGUCUGUAAUCCCAGCUACUCAGGAGGCUGAGACAGGAGAAUUGCUUGAACCCGGGAGGGGGAGGUUGCAGUGAGCUGAGAACGCACCAGUGCAAUCCAGCCUGGGCAAUAGAGAGAGACUCCAUCUCCAUCUCAAAUUAAAAAUAAUAAUAAUAAUAAAAUAAUAAUAAUAGACCAGGUGUGGUGGCUCACGCCUGUAAUUCCAGCACUUUCGAAGGAUAAGGCAGGAGGAUUGCUUGAGCCCAGGAGUUCAAGACCAGCCUGGGCCAACAAGAGAGACCCUCAUCUCUACAAAAUAUUUUUUAAAAUAACUGGGCCUCAUGGUGCAUUCCUGUAAUCUGAGCUAGUUGGGAGGAUAGCUAGAGCCCAGGAGAUCGAGGCUGCAGAGAACCGUGAUCACACGACUGCACUCCAGCCUGGGUGACAGAGCAAGACCCUGUCUCAAUAGAUAGAUAGAUAGAUAGAUAGAUAGAUAGAUAGAUAGAUAGAUAGAUAAAAACAGAGAGGUGAAAAAUAUGGUUUUAAGGGUUCUGUUUAAGAAUACUCUGUUCCAACAUGGAGUUUGUCAACUCUAAAGUGGUAAAAAACAAGACAGAUUGUAGACAUUUUCAUAAAAGGCAGGAUUAUUUGGUGUCACCAAAUUAAAUAUGUUAAUGGUCACAGCGGAGGCCGACUCAAUCAGCCUUUUAUUCUGCCAGGCUAUUUGAUACUGCUGAGGGCUUACCUAUUUCCUGAGGAGAAAAAUAGUCAUUAAAAUGACCUUAUAAAGACGACGCUUGCAGGGAUUGUUUCUAUAGCUCACUACCAGAUAAGUUUCUCCGAACAUGUAGAGCACCAGAAACCACAUGCAGCGGUGCAGCGCUCUCUCGGGAGCCUGACACUGGCUCUGGGUGCUGCUUCACUGCAACUUCCAUUUGCCAUUGAGAACUGUUCCGCUCUUCCUCUGUGGGCUUCUCCGUGGCAGCUGGCUCACCCCAGGGCAAGUGAUCCAAGAGACAGCAGGUGGGAAGGAAGCUCCAAUGUCUUUCAUGACCUAGACUUAGAAGUCAGAUGUUGUCACUGCUGCUUGACUCUAUUUGUUAAAAAUAUGUCUUUAAGUCCAACCCACACUAAAUGGGAGAGAAAUUAGGCUCUACCUCUUAUGGAAAUUUUUUGAUAUGUUUUAAAACUAUCCCAUUUGGGUAUUUAGAUAAAUAUCUACCUCCCUUACUAGACUAAGGGUUCCUUGAGAACCCAAUAGAACCCUUGUUUCUAGUGUUCACUUUUGUGUCCCUGGUAUCUUCCAGGAUGCCUGGCAGAGCGUGGACAUUCAAUAAAUAUUGACUAUAUGAAUUAAUGAGUGAAUGAAACUUUGCACUUGAAUCCCAGCUCUGAGAACUUUCUACAAAUUAUACAACAUUGGAGAAAAGGGACAAUCACAGCUGUCUCUCAGGUGUUUAAAAUAAUACAGCCUAUACAAAGCACCUAGUAUAGUCUGGCACUGAAGGAGGUCAUUAAAUGUUCUUUCUCUUCCUCUUCCUUGCCUCAAUCACACAUGCAAUCCAUCUGAAGCCCUGUGGAGUCUACCUCCCAUUAUGUCUUUCCCAUCCCUCUUAGUCUGUUACUCUCUUUCAAAUGCUGCUGCUCUUAGACUUGCCUUGCACAUGCUUUUCUAUUAGCCUUGUAUCAGUUCCCUGUGCCUCUAUUCUCUAGGGCAAUCUAGUGCAAUCCAUCCCUAAAUGUGCUAGGACCACAUUAUCUUUGUCAUUUUUGCAUCUUCUAUUGCUGUUGCUCGGCCCUGCACCAGCUAAGUGUAUA
rnacentral:lncRNA from 1 species